UUUUUUAUUUUUUUAGUCAGUUAGCCAAAAAGUCAACCCUAAAAUAAUAUCAUCCCUUGUUUGAAACCCCAUUGAGCCUAUUAUUCUUUUUUUGUUUAAAACUCAUUACAAAUCGAGAAGUGAAAAACAAUGUUAUCACCCUAUUCAAAGGGUUGAAAGAGUCUUGUUUGGAGUUGUGUGGGGUUGAAUAAUUAUGUUUGUAAUAUUUCAGAAGUUGGUAGAAAAAGAAAAAAAAAUAAAAAAAAAUGAAUGAAAAAAAAUAGAAGGAUGUAUAUAUGUCAAUACAUACUCCUU
rnacentral:lncRNA from 1 species